CCAGCACCCGCGGUAAUUCCAGCUCCAAUAGCGUAUAUUAAAGUUGUUGCAGUUAAAAAGCUCGUAGUUGGAUUUGUGGUGGUCCCUGUGGUCCAAUAAUGGUACUUUCGGGGACUGCCAUCCUUGGGUGGAUCCUGUGUGGCAUUAGGUUGUCGUGCAGGGGAUGCCCAUCGUUUACUGUGAAAAAAUUAGAGUGUUCAAAGCAGGCUUAUGCCGAUGAAUAGAUUAGCAUGGAAUAAUGAGAUAGGACCUCGGUACUAUUUUGUUGGUUUGCGCACUGAGGUAAUGAUUAACAGGGACAGUUGUGGGUAUUCGUAUUGCAUUGUCAGAGGUGAAAUUCUUGGAUUUCUGCAAGACGAACUAAUGCGAAAGCAUUUACCAAGGAUGUUUUCAUUAAUCAAGAACGAAAGU
rnacentral:rRNA from 1 species